rnacentral:tRNA from 1 species
GCGCCCGUAGCUCAGCUGGACAGAGCGAUCGGUUUCUACCCGAUAGGUCGGGGGUUCAAAUCCUCCCGGGCGUGCCA